CCCUGCUGCUUCCCACUCUUGCUGGCGUUUGGUGCUUGAAGCAGAAAGGGAGAGAAAAAAGCGCCAAUCUCCAUUCAGCGAGCGCAGAGCGUGCAUAUAUAUAUGGAAGAGUGAUGGAUGCACCAAGCUUUACGCGACGGACAAAUGUGGCUUCGAAAUGCAAAUCUACAUCUGGUAAGAUUCUGAGAGCUGACAUGCAGAAGGAGCCAACAUUUGACGGUAUUUAACAUCUCAACAGUAUUGACAGUAUCGAACAGUGGAUAUGCUGCAGCAGACUGAAUUUUUCGUCGUAUAUUUUUAACGUCACAACCACUGUUUAACUGUACAGUAUCUCGUAAGAGGACUUGCAAAAAGCACAUAGUUACUCUAACUCAGUUUGACAAACCAGGGAACGUUCACUGAAUCGGCACAAUAGCAUGGAAAAUGUUAUCAAUUCUAUUUUGGUGAAUUUUGGCAAAGAUUAGGAAACGAAACCUAUAUUUCACAUUUUGAGAAUUUGAUUUUUAUUAUUUAAAAAAUGUCUUAGAAUAGAAUCUCAGGUUUUUUUAUUCUAGAAUCUUUGGAAACUUUGGUAUU